rnacentral:lncRNA from 1 species
GAAGUUCCUAACGGCUGCCUAGCUGCCCCUUUCCUCUUCAGCUGUCUCUCUACCUUCAUAGCCACAUGCAACAUAUCUUCCAACUCCACAUAAUGUUGCAACUCCACUACAUUGGCAAUUUCCCUAUUCAACCCAUUCAAGAAUCGUGCCAUGGUAGCCUCCCGAUCCUCCACCACAUUGGCCCUAAUCAUGAGUAUUUCCAUCUUCUUAUGAUAG